UUCUUGAAUAAUGGUUUAUUUUUUUUCAGCACACAAUUAUGGCAGCAGACUUGCCACCAAGUAAGGUGACAAAACAUGUGAAGGAGGGAACUCUGCCAGACAGGUGAAUGCACUAACCACCAGAAUAUUGGCAUCAUCACGAGAGCACCCCAUUGAUGCUCUGCAAGGAGAACAAGAAGAGACAAACCUCAAACUGCAGCAGUAGAAGGCAGUAUCCAGGGAGUUUUUAACGCAGAUCAGAAGCCUCUCUUGUGUGGGUGGUACGAAUGCAAAGGAUUGCCUGAAAAGGAUCAUGCGGCGAAUCUUGGCCGACAAGGUUUUAUAACUAAAGGCCAAAGAGGAGAAAAGUGUGCAUUCAAGGGGCUUUCAAAGGUGCAGACCAUGAUAUGCAAAGCAGUACAGAAGAACAAUGGGUGCAUGGAGGCUUCAGAUAAUAUCAUCGAAGAAAGCAGCAGCAGAAAGAGUCGGGGUAGAAAGCAGAGAGAACGAAACUAAAUGCUAGCAUAUUUCAAGGAAGUGACAACUGUGUUUCUGUGCCCUGUGAAUUUACUGGAAUGUUAUGGCAGAAUUGUGUAGCUACGUUUCCUCGUUGGGAUUUGGCAAAAAGAGACUUCCAAGAAAUUGAAAGUAAAAACUGUGACAUCGUUAUUAUCCUCAUCUUCAAUUAAGGCCAGGCACCUGAGGUAAAAACUUUUUAAGUUAUUUAAAUAUGGCAGAUAGGCAUCAAAAUUAACUCUUUGAUUAUUUAUUACUAGAAUAGUAAUACGUAUCUCAGAAAAUAGAGAAGACCGAAGAUUCAUAAAUAAUACCUCUUUCCGACCAUACAUAAGAAGACCUAACGCAUUGAUGACGAUCACUUAGGUCCUUACAAAUGCAUGAAAGGUCCUUACCUGGCACCAUCCCUGAUUCCUGGGAACCCUGGAGAAGUGCAGCACCAACACGAUAUCCCUAUUCUUAGUUAUCAUAGGACAAACUGAUCAUGUUCUAAAUAAAUUUCUUAAAGCCUCUUUACAAGAAGUACAUGAACCUUGUUCAGCUUUGCUUUACAGAGUUUUGUAACACUAAAAAGCCUGGUUAAUUGGAAUAUGUCUAUUGUAUAAGGAUAGAGAUUUUAAUGUUGUUAUCUACAGAGGGAUAUAACCAUAUUUUUGUGUAUUUUGUGCAUCAUUCAAAUGUACAUUUGCAUUUCACUCUUUUUUAUAGUAAAUCUAAAGUUCUAUUUAAUUUUAGUUUAAUUAUUCCUUGCGACUCCCAAUGGAGCACGGGGCCCCAAGACCUCUCCUUUAAUCAUUUGAAAUUGAAAUAUUUAAAAGUCUGUUCAUUUAAGAAAAUUCCUUUGCUUUCAUUUAUCACUGUUUAAUUAAUUCCUAUACUUUUUUCUCUUUUUUUUUUUUUUUUUUUUGAGUAUCAUU